rnacentral:rRNA from 1 species
UACGGAGGGGGCAAGCGUUGUUCGGAUUUACUGGGCGUAAAGCGCGUGUAGGCGGUUUGGUAAGUUACUUGUGAAAUUUAUGGGCUUAACCCAUAACGGUCAAGUAAUACUGCGAGACUAGAGUGCAGAAGGGGCAACUGGAAUUCUUGGUGUAGCGGUGAAAUGCGUAGAUAUCAAGAGGAACACCGGAGGCGAAGGCGGGUUGCUGGGCUGACACUGACGCUGAGACGCGAAAGCUAGGGGAGCAAACAGG